CUUUUCAGCUAGAGUAUGAUAGAGGAAAGCAGAAUUUCUAGUGUAGAGGUGAAAUUCGUAGAUAUUAGAAAGAAUACCAAUUGCGAAGGCAGCUUUCUGGAUCAUUACUGACACUGAGGAACGAAAGCAUGGGUAGCGAAGAGGAUUAGAUACCCUCGUAGUCCAUGCCGUAAACGAUGUGUGUUAGACGUUGGAAAUUUAUUUUCAGUGUCGCAGGGAAACCGAUAAACACACCGCCUGGGGAGUACAACCGCAAGGUUAAAACUCAAAUGAAUUGACGGGGACCCGCACAAGUAGUGGAGCAUGUGGUUUAAUUCGAAGAUACGCGCAGAACCUUACCAACACUUGACAUGUUCGUCGCGACUCUAAGAGAUUAGAGUUUUCGGUUCGGCCGGACGAAACACAGGUGCUGCAUGGCUGUCGUCAGCUCGCGUCGUGAGAUGUUGGGUUAAGUCCCGCAACGAGCGCAACCCUCACUUUUAGUUGCCAUCAUUAAGUUGGGCACUCUGAAAGAACUGCCAGUGAUAAGCUGGAGGAAGGUGGGGAUGACGUCAAGUCCUCAUGGCCCUUACGUGUUGGGCUACACACGUGCUACAAUGGCAUCUACAACAGGAAGCAAAACGGCAACGUCUAGCAAAUCCCGAAAAGAUGCCUCAGUUCGGAUUGCACUCUGCAACUCGAGUGCAUGAAGCUGGAAUUACUAGUAAUCGUGGAUCAGCGUGCCACGGUGAAUGCGUUCCCGGGUCUUGUACACACCGCCCGUCACACCAUGGGAGUUGGUUCUACCUUAAGGCAAGGUUUCAAACCCUUGACCACGGUAUAGUCAGCGACUGGGGUGAAGUCGUAACAAGGUAACCGUA
rnacentral:rRNA from 1 species